CUAGUUUGCGAGAUUUUCUGAUAGUUACAAAUGAUAUUAUAUUUGUAAUCAAUGGUAGGAGAAAUCGUCAAUCAUUUUAUGUGUGAUGUUGAUGUCAUAGUGUCGUGAUAGACGAACUUUUUUUCACACACUAAAGUUUUCUGUUAUCAUUCUUUGCACAUCGUACGCUGGAACUAUUGUGAUUUCAUAUACAGAUGACGUUCCGGGUCAUAAUUCAUUGUUUAUUAAAGGAAUUAUCAGUAUUAAUUCCUUUAGUACGUCGUUCCUUUAAUUGUUACGUCGUACGUCGGAAGUAUUUCGAUAUCACACUCUGAUGACCUUCUGGGACAUUAUCUGUUGUUACGUUGUAGGUCGGGACGUUUUCUGAUGUCACUCGUUGCUGCAUCAUAAUCAUAUCGCAGAUUUUUAGUUUGUUAAAUCAUCCAUCGUUCCUUCAUUCGUCGAAAUUGUUGUCAUGGCAUGACUAUUGUUUCUUAACUUCCCAUUGUAAUUACAUUUUGAAACGUUAUCCAUUGUUAUAUCGUACCGAAGAAUUUUUUUUGAUAUCGAUAUUUAUGUCAUAACGAUAACGUUGAUGACGUUUGCAACGUUACUCGUUGUUACUUCGUGGUAAUAUAAUGUCGAUGAGAUCACGACGACAUAUCUGAUUCGUACAUUGCAGCAAUAGUUUAAGAAAAAUCAGAACGACAGGCUGAUAUGGAAAUGACUGGAGAUACCUAGAUUUAAUCAUGUGUUUUAAAUUACGAUCCCAAAAUGCCUGAUCCUGGGGCGAUUUUGAUUUCGGUAUUCUAUGUUAUCUGCAACGUCAUGAGAAUUCAUUCUACAAAGUGUGGUCCCAUAGGCCAAAAGAUGAGAGGGGCUAUGCCAAGCAGACAGCCAUACUGUAUACUGACAUUUUUAUAUUUAGUUAUUAGAAAACAUUUCAUAUAUUCAAGAUCGUAUUUAAAAUUUCCUUUUGGAGAGUUAAGACAGUAUUCGAUUUCAC
rnacentral:lncRNA from 1 species